rnacentral:tRNA from 1 species
UCCCUGGUGGUCCAGUGGCUAAGACUCUGCACUCCCAAUGCAGCGGGCCUGGGUUCAACCCCUUGUCAAGAAC